rnacentral:lncRNA from 1 species
AUUUGUUCAUCAGUAAGAAAUUCAAUAAGAACAAGUCACAAGUCACAAGAUGAGUUCAAACAAGGAAAAGAUGAGGAUAAUUAAGAACUACACAAGAACUGAUCACCCCAAACUCAAGUAUUUACAUGUUAAUAUCAGUGACAAUCUUACAUACAUAUACAAUACAUGCAACCAUCGGCUCUUAUUUUUUUUUUCAAUCGCCAUCACCCCAUGGCAAUAUUGCAUCAAGGAGCCAAGAACAAUUCAUUCUCUCCUCGAUGAGCAGCAAAUCCAAUCCCCAAAUGAGUCGGACGCACACAAAUCACACCCAGAAACCGAAAGGCGCCUCCUUUCUUGACUCUAAAGCCUCUAAUCCGUUAAUUAGCAGCUCGAAUUGAAUAGGAAAGAUCACAUCUUUGGCGAUCAAGAACAGCAAUUAGGGCAGCGUACCAAUCCGUUCUCGUUGCAAUCGACGCAACGCUGCACGCGAUCUUCCUCCUCGAUGAACACCUUGCGGCCGCCGCCGCAGGCGGUGCNNN